UACGUAGGGGGCAAGCGUUGUCCGGAUUUAUUGGGCGUAAAGAGCGUGUAGGCGGCUUUGCAAGUCCGUUGUGAAAACUCGAGGCUCAACCUCGAGACGCCGGUGGAAACUGCAAAGCUAGAGUCCGGAAGAGGAGAGUGGAAUUCCUGGUGUAGCGGUGGAAUGCGCAGAUAUCAGGAGGAACACCAACGGCGAAGGCAGCUCGCUGGGACGGUACUGACACUGAGGCGCGAAAGCGUGGGGAGCAAACAGG
rnacentral:rRNA from 1 species